UACGUAGGGUGCAAGCGUUAAUCGGAAUUACUGGGCGUAAAGCGUGCGCAGGCGGUUUUGUAAGUCUGUCGUGAAAGCCCCGGGCUCAACCUGGGAAUUGCGAUGGAGACUGCAAGGCUUGAAUCUGGCAGAGGGGGGUAGAAUUCCACGUGUAGCAGUGAAAUGCGUAGAUAUGUGGAGGAACACCGAUGGCGAAGGCAGCCCCCUGGGAUGUGACUGACGCUCAUGUACGAAAGCGUGGGGAGCAAACAGG
rnacentral:rRNA from 1 species